rnacentral:rRNA from 1 species
AGAUUGAACGCUGGCGGCAUGCCUUACACAUGCAAGUCGAACGGUAGAGUAGCAAUACUUGAGAGUGGCGAACGGGUGAGUAAUAUAUCGGAACGUGCCCAGUCGUGGGGGAUAACGUAGAGAAAUUUACGCUAAUACCGCAUACGAUCUAAGGAUGAAAGCGGGGGGACCGUAAGGCCUCGCGCGAUUGGAGCGGCUGAUAUCAGAUUAGGUUGUUGGUGAAGGUAAAAGCUCACCAAGCCGACGAUCUGUAGCUGGUUUGAGAGAACGACCAGCCACACUGGGACUGAGACACGGCCCAGACUCCUACGGGAGCAGCUAGGUGGGUAAUUUGGACAAUGGGACGAAAGCUGAUCCAGUCAAUCGCCGCGU